GUGUCUUCAUCAGGUUUAUGAGCCUCACCUGUGGGGUUUGAAUGUGGCAUGUGGAAAAUAGGACUAAGAAUCGAGAGAAAUGCUAUAGAAAAGACACAAUGUUUUGAUGAAAACUAUUUCAGCCAAACCACUAAGAGAUUAUUUUUAGUGAUGCUCACCUUUUAAUAAUACUGACCCUUUUUUUUUUACCCAUUCUUGCACACUUUGGAGGAAUAUAUAUUGCUUUUAUUAAAAAGGAUUAGUCUAGGCUUACUGCUCUGUGGGUCACUGAGUGGAGCGCUAUGGACAACAAGAAGCUGCUGCCAUGAAAAACAACAUUAAGAGUGAAGAUGUCUUCCAGUCCCUACUGAAGAAAGGCAACCUCACAGCUUGAUCCCACCGUCUCUGUCGUUUGGACCCAGUUGGGUUUCCGACAAUCCGCUCCUUUUCAGCACAAGAAACUGAGAUUCCAGUGGAUUUGCAGCGGAAGUCUGAGUUUCCUACGCUGAGAGAGAUCGCCUGUUUUGUCUGCCAGGGAGCGAACGUUCGCCAGGUGCACUGACGUGGGUGAAGCAUGAAGUCCUUGGAGGAGCAACUUUCCGACCGUACUUGCCUAUUUUUCCCGUCCAAGUCUUUGGCAAAUCCCACAGAGAGCAGCUGUGCUUCCAACCUGGAUCUCGGUAAAACUUUUUUGUUCCAUGAAAGCUGGAGGGAAAAUGCUCAGUGAGAAUUAUGGAUGCUUAGAAGUUGCUCUCCGGUAAAAGCAAAUUAAUAAUAGUAGCAAAAUACACAUUAACCACUUUGUCAAGGCCUGAAUCUAUUUAAAUGUCAUCUUUUUCUAAUUUCUCUUGCAUAUAUAUUCUUAUUUUUAAAUGAAUGUUUUGGUUUUACUUGAACUACAAUUAAGUCUUUUGCUAAACAGAAGAUUUUACAGAAGAGAUGAGAGAAAAGUAGAACAUUUUCUCAUUUCACUUUAAGCACAAAGUGUGGGUUUCAAGUUGCAUUUUAUUUCAAAUCAAUAAUCGCACCAAGAAAAAAAAAUGCAUUAAAAAAACAUCCAAUUAAAAUCCUUCCCUUAACAAUUUAUAAAACGCAUAGAAGAGCAAAAAUAUUUAUGAAAUCUAUAGCAGAAUUUAAAUGCAUUCUAGACAAAAUCUGCAGAUGCUGCCUUUCAUUUUGGCAAAUUCAACUUCAAAGACAAGUUGAAGUUGAGUUCAACACCAUGAAGUCGGAAAGAAAAGUGAAUCAUAACAUGCUUUGUUUAUGUUGACUUUGCUAAAAACGUACCUCUCCACACCAUCCUUCAGCAACAAGAUGUAUCAAUUGAUUUAUCAUGGAAGUUGACUCCGAUUUGAACUGAUUAAAGUCUUGUUCAGUUCUUGCAUGCAUUUAGUGUCAUUGUUUACGUCUAGACUUCUGUCCAAAAUCUGCACCUAAGCAAUGACAUGGGAUGCAACACUCGUGUUUAAAACUGCCAGGGAUGCAAUUUGUACCAGAACACACCAUCAAUUGUUCUCUUUUUUUCUUAAAGGCAUAUUUCAGUUGAUAGGCCUCUAAACUGAGCUCGUCCAAGAAUUGAAGGGAUUGUUUCCUUUUCUUUGUGCUUCUUUUUCACGGUUCUCUCGUUUUAUAGUGCUCCUCUGGAAGAUUUCUUAGUUUCUCAGCAGCCUGAGACAAAAAGAAAAGCAAAGGUUGAUUUUAAGAUUAUAAUAAAUGCAGAAAGAAACUGUUUAUUUUUUAUGCCAAGUAGUAGAACUGCUAAACCUGUAAAUUUUAACAACAAAACAAUACUAUUUCCAUUUCUGUAUAUUGGAUUAAAUAGAAGUCCAUGAGAUGUACAAAGUUUGGGACAUUGUUUCAAAAUCUAAUCUUGCUUUAAAUGUCUCUACAACAUAA